rnacentral:rRNA from 1 species
GAUGAACGCUGGCGGCGUGCCUAAUACAUGCAAGUCGAGCGAACGGACGAGAAGCUUGCUUCUCUGAUGUUAGCGGCGGGCGGGUGAGUAACACGUGGAUAACCUACCUAUAAGACUGGGAUAACUUCGGGAAACCGGAGCUAAUACCGGAUAAUAUUUUGAACCGCAUGGUUCAAAAGUGAAAGACGGUCUUGCUGUCACUUAUAGAUGGAUCCGCGCUGCAUUAGCUAGUUGGUAAGGUAACGGCUUACCAAGGCAACGAUGCAUAGCCGACCUGAGAGGGUGAUCGGCCACACUGGAACUGAGUCACGGUCCAGACUCCUACGGGAGGCAGCAGUAGGGAAUCUUCCGCAAUGGGCGAAAGCCUGACGGAGCAACGCCGCGUGAGUGAUGAAGGUCUUCGGAUCGUAAAACUCUGUUAUUAGGGAAGAACAUAUGUGUAAGUAACUGUGCACAUCUUGACGGUACCUAAUCAGAAAGCCACGGCUAACUACGUG